rnacentral:lncRNA from 1 species
CUGCGCGCUCACUCGCUUGCUUGCGCUGGGCUUCAGGGCGCCCGGGUUUUUCUGUGGACCUAAAUUUUCAUUUCUCUGGGAUAAAUGUCCAGGAGUGUGAUUGCUGGGUCAUAUGGUGUCACAUGCCAUUCUUCUGAUUUUCAUGAAUAUCCUCUAAAAGGCAGCUAAGCACUCGCUGUCUUCUUCCUUUUGCCUCAUCAAGCACGGGGGACGCUGGAAGGAAGAGGCAUCAACAGUGAGAACUGGGCAAAGCACAUGAGAUGUCUAAGAUCUGCCAGGAAAAGGACCAUGAAGGACUUGCCUGUGGUCAAGAAUCUACAUCUCAGUAUUUGUACAGUUGAGCCGAAAUGCCUGUUCUAACAAAGAGAGCCUGGGUAAGUGUGCAUGCUCCAUUGCCUGACAGGUAUAAAGCAGUGGUUUUCAACUUCAAUGUGCCGCAGAAUCACUUGAAGAACUUCUAGCCUAAAAGAAUCAAAGAACUAUAUAAUUUCGAGAGAACACAAGAUGCCAAAAUUUUCCUAGUGUAGAUGGCUCAAUCAGUGUUGAUUGAACUAUCCACACUAGAAAUUAAGUGAAAUUGAGGGACUAUUCUUAAAUGUAAAUAUUUUUCUAAUAUAGGUUUUUAGAGAUUGCUGACUUGAUGUAUUUAGGAACUCAAAGCAAAUAGAGUCUUCUGGAGUAAUAGAUAAGCAUUAGAAAACACUAGGUCUACCUGGCCGAAUGAAUGGAUUCACAAAGGGGGGUGGUAUAUAAAUGAAAUAUACUUAACUGAUCUUGAACUACGUCGAGAUCCACUGCACUGAAGAUUCCCCUUGGCUCU